rnacentral:rRNA from 1 species
UACAGAGGUCUCAAGCGUUGUUCGGAUUCAUUGGGCGUAAAGGGUGUGCAGGCGGUUUUGUUAGUCCUUCGUGAAAGCUCUUGGGCUCAACCCAGGAAACGCGGUGGAAACGGCAAAACUAAGAGGACGCGAGAGGUAGAGGGAACUCAUGGUGUAGGGGUGAAAUCCGUUGAUAUCAUGGGGAACACCAAAUGCGAAGGCACUCUACUGGCGCGCUCCUGACGCUCAUACACGAAAGCGUGGGAAUCGAACGGG